UCCGUAACUGAGACUACAGCUCAAUG
rnacentral:tRNA from 1 species